GACGAACGCUGGCGGCGGGCUUAACACAUGCAAGUCGAACGGAAAGGCCCUGCUUUUGUGGGGUGCUCGAGUGGCGAACGGGUGAGUAACACGUGAGUAACCUGCCCUUGACUUUGGGAUAACUUCAGGAAACUGGGGCUAAUACCGGAUAGGAGCUCCUGCUGCAUGGUGGGGGUUGGAAAGUUUCGGCGGUUGGGGAUGGACUCGCGGCUUAUCAGCUUGUUGGUGGGGUAGUGGCUUACCAAGGCUUUGACGGGUAGCCGGCCUGAGAGGGUGACCGGCGACAUUGGGACUGAGAUACGGCCCAGACUCCUACGGGAGGCAGCAGUGGGGAAUAUUGCACAAUGGGCGGAAGCCUGAUGCAGCAACGCCGCGUGCGGGAUGACGGCCUUCGGGUUGUAAACCGCUUUCGCCUGUGACGAAGCGUGAGUGACGGUAAUGGGUAAAGAAGCACCGGCUAACUACGUG
rnacentral:rRNA from 1 species